rnacentral:rRNA from 1 species
CCUACGGGUGGCAGCAGUAGGGAAUCUUCCACAAUGGGCGAAAGCCUGAUGGAGCAACGCCGCGUGGGUGAAGAAGGUCUUCGGAUCGUAAAACCCUGUUGUUAGAGAAGAAAGUGCGUGAGAGUAACUGUUCACGUUUCGACGGUAUCUAACCAGAAAGCCACGGCUAACUACGUGCCAUCAGCCGCGGUAAUACGUAGGUGGCAAGCGUUAUCCGGAUGUAUUGGGCGUAAAGGGAACGCAGGCGGUCUUUUAAGGCUGAUGUGAAAGUCUUCGGCUUAACCGGGGUAGUGCAUUGGAAACUGGGAGACUUGAGUGCAGAAGAGGAGAGCGGAACGCCAUGUGUAGCGGUGAAAUGCGUAGAUAUAUGGAAGAACACCAGUGGCGAAAGCGGCUCUCUGGUCUGUAACUGACGCUGAGGUUCGAAAGCGUGGGUAGCAAACAGGAUUAGAUACCCGAGUAGUC